GGGGAAUAUUGUGCAAUGGGGGAAACCCUGACACAGCGACGCCGCGUGAGCGAAGAAGGCCUUCGGGUCGUAAAGCUCAAUAGUAUGGGAAGAAAUAAAUGACGGUACCAUACGAAAGCCCCGGCUAACUACGUGCCAGCAGCCGCGGUAAUACGGGGGGUGCAAGCGUUACUCGGAAUCACUGGGCGUAAAGAGCAUGUAGGCGGAUUGAUAAGUUUGAAGUGAAAUCCUAUAGCUUAACUAUAGAACUGCUUUGAAAACUGUUAAUCUAGAAUGUGGGAGAGGUAGAUGGAAUUUCUGGUGUAGGGGUAAAAUCCGUAGAGAUCAGAAGGAAUACCGAUUGCGAAGGCGAUCUACUGGAACAUUAUUGACGCUGAGAUGCGAAAGCGUGGGGAGCAAACAGGA
rnacentral:rRNA from 1 species